CCUACGGGUGGCAGCAGUGGGGAAUAUUGCACAAUGGGGGAAACCCUGAUGCAGCGACGCCGCGUGAGUGAAGAAGUAUUUCGGUAUGUAAAGCUCUAUCAGCAGGGAAGAAAAUGACGGUACCUGAUUAAGAAGCACCGGCUAACUACGUGCCAGCAGCCGCGGUAAUACGUAGGGGGCAAGCGUUAUCAGGAUUUACUGGGUGGAAAGGGAGCGUAGACGGCAGCACAAGUCUGGAGUGAAAUGCCGGGGCUUAACCCCGGAACUGCUUUGGAAACGGGGCAGCUAGAGUGCAGCAGAGGUAAGUGGAAUUCCUAGGGUAGCGGUGAAAUGCGUAGAUAUUAGGAGGAACACCAGUGGCGAAGGCGGCUUACUGGACUGUAACUGACGUUGAGGCUCGAAAGCGUGGGGAGCAAACAGGAUUAGAUACCCGGGUAGUC
rnacentral:rRNA from 1 species